UACAGAGGGGGCAAGCGUUGUUCGGAAUUACUGGGCGUAAAGGGCGCGUAGGCGGCCUGUUAAGUCGAGCGUGAAAUCCCCGGGCUCAACCCGGGAACUGCGUCCGAUACUGGCAGGCUUGAAUCCGGGAGAGGGAUGCGGAAUUCCAGGUGUAGCGGUGAAAUGCGUAGAUAUCUGGAGGAACACCGGUGGCGAAGGCGGCAUCCUGGACCGGCAUUGACGCUGAGGCGCGAAAGCCAGGGGAGCAAACAGG
rnacentral:rRNA from 1 species